AUUGAACGCUGGCGGCAGGCCUAACACAUGCAACCCGAGCGGAUGAAGGGAGAUUGCUCCUGGAUUCAGCGGCGGACGGGUGAGUAAUGCCUAGGAAUCUGCCUGGCAGUGGGGGAUAACGUCCGGAAAUGGGCGCUAAUACCGCUUACGUCCUGAGGGAGAAAGUGGGGGAUCUUCGGACCUCACGCUAUCAGAUGAGCCUAGGUCGGAUUAGCUAGUUGGUGGGGUAAAGGCCUACCAAGGCGACAAUCCGUAACUGGUCUGAGAGUAUGAUCAGUCACACUGGAACGUAUGAACGGUCCAGACUCCUACGGGAGGCAGCAGUGGGGAAUAUUGGACAAAGGGCGAAAGCCUGAUCCAGCCAUGCCGCGUGUGUGAAGAAGGUCUUCGGAUUGUAAAACACUUUAAGUUGGGAGGAAGGGCAGUAAGUUAAUACCUUGCUGUUUUGACGUUACCAACAGAAUAAGCACCGGCUAACUUCGUG
rnacentral:rRNA from 1 species